UGUGGGAGCGAGCUUGCUCGCGAUGGCGGUGUAUCAGUCAGAUACUGGAUCGACUGUCAGACCGCUAUCGCGAGCAAGCUCGCUCCCACA
rnacentral:ncRNA from 4 species